rnacentral:tRNA from 1 species
AUUCAAUUAGUAUAUAAAGUAUAUUAAGCUUCCAACUUAAAGGAUAAGAAAAAUUAAUUGAAUA